rnacentral:rRNA from 1 species
UCUACGGGAGGCUGCAGUGAGGAAUAUUGGUCAAUGGGCGGGAGCCUGAACCAGCCAAGUCGCGUGAGGGAAGACGGUCCUAUGGAUUGUAAACCUCUUUAGGCGGGGAGCAAUGCCGGGCACGCGUGCCCGGAGGGAGAGUACCCGCAGAAUAAGCAUCGGAUAACUCCGUGCCAGCAGCCGCGGUAAUAGGGGGGAUGCGACCGUUAGAGGGAUUUAUUUGGGUGAACGGGUGCUCAGGCGGAUUUUUAAGUCAGCGUACAAAUCGUGGGGCUCAACCCCAUCCAGCCGUUGAAACUGGGGAUCUAGAGUGUGCGAGAGGUAUGCGGAAUGCGUGGUGUAGCGGUGAAAUGCAUAGAUAUCACGCAGAACCCCGAUUGCGAAGGCAGCAUACCGGUGCACAACUGACGCUCAGGCACGAAAGCGUGGGUAUCGAACAGGAUUAGAUACCCGAGUAGUC